UACGGAGGGAGCUAGCGUUGUUCGGAAUUACUGGGCGUAAAGCGUGCGUAGGCGGUUAUUCAAGUCAGAGGUGAAAGCCCGGGGCUCAACCCCGGAACGGCCUUUGAAACUAGGUAACUAGAAUCUUGGAGAGGUUAGUGGAAUUCCGAGUGUAGAGGUGAAAUUCGUAGAUAUUCGGAAGAACACCAGUGGCGAAGGCGACUAACUGGACAAGUAUUGACGCUGAGGUACGAAAGCGUGGGAGCAAACAGG
rnacentral:rRNA from 1 species